rnacentral:rRNA from 1 species
UACGAAGGGUGCAAGCGUUACUCGGAAUUACUGGGCGUAAAGCGUGCGUAGGCGGUUUGUUAAGUCUGUUGUGAAAGCCCCGGGCUCAACCUGGGAAUGGCAAUGGAAACUGGCGAGCUAGAGUACGGUAGAGGAGAGUGGAAUCCCGGUGUAGCAGUGAAAUGCGUAGAGAUCGGGAGGAACAUCAGUUGCGAAGGCGGCUCUCUGGACCAGUACUGACGCUGAGGCACGAAAGCGUGGGGAGCAAACAGG